rnacentral:lncRNA from 1 species
AUUGGAUUAAUCACCGUCUUCGUGAUAAUCCAUCGAUUAGGAGUAAUUUAAAAAUUAAUCACCAAUGACAUAUGCCUCAAAUUCUAAAUUAAUCACCAGUGUCAUCAUUUUAUUAAUUUUUUAGAUAAUUCAUGGACACAUACACAACAUGAAUAGAAAUAAAUUGCCCAAUCUUAUUAUUAAAUAUAAAAUCAAAUAUAAAACUAUAUCCUAAAAAGAAUAAAUAUGUCGGU